rnacentral:lncRNA from 1 species
UAUGUUUGAUGCAGUAGUGGAUAGGAUUGGACUGUAUAAUGACAAGAUUUUUUAGCUUAUUUUCCUUCCAUUAUACCGUCCAAUGAAUCUCUCCACCAAACAUGCUAUAAGUAAAAUAUAUCCAUUAGCAAUGGUCUGAUGACAAGGAUGUACUCGUGCGUGUUUUUGCAUGCUUAAUCUGUUAACUUGAUCAGACUCGAGCUUUGUACCUCCCUUGGUCUAUGCCUUUAUGGGCAGUUCGAGAGAUAUAGCCAUAGGGCCGGUUGCUGUGGUGUCUCUACUGCUUGGGACUCUACUGCAGAACGAGAUUGAUCCCAUCAAAAAUGCUGUUGAAUAUCGUAGACUUGCAUUCACAGCUACUUUCUUUGCUGGCAUCACUCAAGCUAUCCUUGGCAUUCUUAGGUAAUUGAGUUUAAUUGCAGUCAAAUUAGUGAAUUUCUGCUAAAUUUUCUUCUUUUCGAUAUUAUCCUAGCAGUUUUUUAGUCUUUUACUUUGAUCUAAUUUUGGAUUUACGUGCAGAUUGGGUUUCUUAAUCGACUUCCUAUCUCACGCUGCUGUUGUUGGAUUCAUGGGAGGUGCUGCCAUAACAAUUGCACUCCAACAACUUAAAGGAUUUUUAGGCAUCAAUAAGUUUACAAAGAAGACGGAUAUUAUAUCCGUUAUGAAGUCAGUGUGGGGCUCUGCCCACCAUGGAGUAAGUGUUCUCACUCUCUGUGUGCAUGAAUUACCCAGCUUUAAGUUGACACCGGGUGCUCAAAAUUUCCAAUAUUUUCUGUUGCAGUGGAAUUGGCAGACAAUUGUAAUAGGAACAACAUUUUUAGCCUUUCUUCUAUUUGCCAAGUACAUUGUAAGACACCCGACUUCCGAGUUUCAUCCAAUGUAUUUUACAUUUUUAAAUGAUUUUCGGCUUCAUUAGCAAUUCUAACACUGUGAGGUGCAGGGGAAGAAGAAUAAGAAACUCUUUUGGAUACCAGCUAUUGCUCCACUGGUCUCCGUUAUUCUGUCUACAUUCUUCGUGUAUAUUACGCAUGCAGAGAAGAGAGGAGUACAAAUUGUAAGCCCUUUUUUUGGCUAAUUUCAUUUCGUAACACUGUAAUCAGCUGUAAUUAUUUUGUACUAAUAUGCGUUUGGCAUAACCAGGUUAAACAUAUCGAGAAAGGAAUUAAUCCCUCAUCCGUGAAUCAGAUUUAUUUUACUGGUGAUUAUCUUUUGAAGGGUUUUAGGAUUGGCAUUGUGGCUGGCAUGAUUGCAUUGACAGUAAGCUAGUUUCGUAGAUUUUCCUUGGUCAAAAAUUUCUUGAGAACUCAUUCAAUUUUUCUCCAUUUGUUUUAUGUAUAUUCACUUUUUUCAUUAAUACUUAUUAGGAAGCUGUUGCAAUUGGAAGAACUUUUGCUUCCAUGAAAGACUAUCAACUAGAUGGAAACAAAGAAAUGGUUGCUCUUGGAGCAAUGAAUGUAGUCGGCUCUAUGACAUCCUGUUACGUGGCGACAGGUGAAAAUUGAUAGCAGUAAUGGAAUUAUAUUUUAUCGAUCAGCUGCAGUAGAGAAUGAUAUAUUUUUUGUUAUUCAAAGUUUAUUUUGGCCACUUGCAGGUUCCUUCUCCCGUUCCGCAGUGAAUUACAUGGCUGGAUGCCAAACAGCAGUUUCCAAUAUCAUCAUGUCCUUUGUUGUAUUCUUAACGUUAAUGUUUAUCACGCCUCUUUUUGAGUACACCCCGAAUGCAAUCCUCUCGUCCAUUAUUAUCUCUGCAGUCAUCGGCUUAAUUGAUUGUGAUGCAGCAAUUUUGAUUUGGAAAACUGAUAAAUUCGACUUUGUUGCUUGUAUGGGAGCCUUUUUCGGGGUUGUUUUUGCCUCUGUCGAGAUUGGCCUCUUAAUUGCGGUGAGAAUAUGCCUCUCUCAUUUGAAGUUUGUUAUUAAGAUUUGUACUAAAUGCAUUAAAUUCUGAUAAUAGGUCUCAAUAUCUUUCGCCAAAUUACUCUUACAAGUUACAAGGCCAAGGACAGCAAUCCUUGGAAAAAUUCCCAGGACAAAUGUUUAUAGGAAUAUCCUACAAUAUCCUGAGGCAACGAAGGUCCCGGGUGUGUUAAUCGUGAGGGUUGAUUCGGCAAUUUACUUUUCUAACUCUAACUAUAUAAGGGAGAGGUAAUAUGUCUUCCCAUUUAAUUCUCUUCUGCAAAUCUUAAUUCUCUCUACUUUUAUGUUGUUUUGAUUGAAAUUUUGAAUAGUCUGGCAAGGUGCAAAUUUUGUCUCUAAAGUUUCGUAUCGUAACCUAAGUUUUAUCUCAUUUGAGUUGUAAAAUUUUCAUGUUUUCAGGAUAAUAAGGUGGCUAACCGACGAGGAAGAGCAACUGAAAAGGGCUGGCCUUCCUGAGAUUCAAUUUUUGAUAGUCGAAAUGUCACGUAAGUACUUUCUUACCUCGUCCAACAAUUUCUGAGCAUACUAUUGCACUUUUUUUGAAUGAUACGAUCUCUCGUGAAUUUUCAUUCUCCGCAGCCGUUACUGACAUCGACACCAGCGGCAUCCAUGCAUUGGAAGAACUGUACAGAAGUCUUCAAAAG